UACGUAGGGGGCAAGCGUUGUCCGGAUUUAUUGGGCGUAAAGAGCGUGUAGGCGGUUUGGUAGGUCCGCUGUGAAAACUCGAGGCUCAACCUCGAGACGCCGGUGGAAACCAUCAGACUAGAGUCCGGAAGAGGAGAGUGGAAUUCCUGGUGUAGCGGUGAAAUGCGCAGAUAUCAGGAGGAACACCGGUGGCGAAGGCGGUUCUCUGGGCAUGUCCUGACGCUGAGGAGCGAAAGUGUGGGGAGCGAACAGG
rnacentral:rRNA from 1 species